AAAAAUUGCUAUCAUUUCUUGCCUGUAACCUGCGGUUUAUUCUGUGCAUAUUCGUGGUAGAUAUUUGUGGAAGAAGCCAUUCACAAGUAAAGAGAAGUGCCAGGGAAAGGAGCUUUCAGACCGGCUGCUGUGGGAGGUUGACUCAUUGGAGUGCAGGAGAAGCCGGAGACAGCCCUGAGACCAGAAGAGAUGAUGAACAGAGGUACAAGGUCAUGACAAAUGUAGUGUGGCUACACAGAAGUGGUGCAACUGGAGCUCCCUCAAGGCAUGAGAAGCGAGCAGAAGCAAGAGGAGCACAUAGUGACCUUCACCUUGUGUAAUGGAGGUACACGUCUGUUUGCCCUGCAGCAGUGAAGGCCACCCUUGAAUUACAGAUGAGCCAAGCUGCGUUACACCUGCUGCGUUCACCCACAGAGACACUGUCUAUGUGCUGCAGACUCAUUCAUCUCGCAAGAAAUUUAAGGGCCUUUAGGUACUCCCGCUGUAAUGCUGGGUGUCACUUCAGAGAUCUUCAGAGGUCGCUGAGUUGCAAGUAGCUGUCAAUUCGUGAGACCUGAGUAGGCAUCAUGUAGCAGUUUGGCACGCAGCACUACUGCAAUCAACACUAAUUUUGCCUAUAAACAGAUUCUUCUUGAGCUGUCGAAAAUGGCAUCACUUUCUGAGGUGUAGGUUUUACCUGCAACAAUAUAGAGCCAAAUGUACAUGAAGAUUGUUUUGCAAGAUGUAUGGGAUCCUUACAUUUUCAUUAAAG
ensembl:lncRNA